AACCUGGUUUUUUUAUUCCUUAAACCGUCUGCAUCGGUCUGAGAACUUCUCUACACAUAAGAAGUCAUCGAUCUCUUAACCUCUCUGCCCUUCAAUUUGAUGAAGCUAGCCCUCAAGCAUCACAAGGAGCUACCAAUGAAAUUCCUCGGAGUUGCAGUUAGAUUUCCUUAACAAUCAUUCAGUAAGAACCCUAGUACUCUCAAGGCUAGCUGUCUAAAAUUAGGGUUCAAUAAAAGAUAAAAGAUGACUGGACGCCUUCCCCUUGAUAUCAUCAGCCACAUACUCUCAAGGCUACCUGUGAAGUCUCUUUUGCCAUUCAAAUCCUGCCUACGCAAAUCCUGCAAUAACAGGCAAAUUAUGUUGAACACCUGAGGCAGGGACUUUUAUUCUCGCAUUCCCCUCAUCACCACUCAGUCUACUGUUGUAGACCAUGAAGCACGUAAUGAUGCCAUAACAGUAGAGCUUGAUUAUUCGUUGAAGAAUAGAGGCUUUUAUGAUUUCACACUUUCAUAGGAUCUUAAGUCCAUGAUAAUACCGAGAGUUCAUAGACAAUGUUCCCUCGCAAAAUGCGUGUUUGAUCGCUGUGUACGUGGAUUUGGUUGUGAUCAUUCAGCUGACGAUUACAAGUAUGUAAUAAUAGUCUUCAGAAUUCUUGUCCUCGUAUACUCGCUAGAAACUAAUACAUGGAAAAGGGUUCAAGACUUUGCUGAUUGCAGGCUAGCCUGUGAAUCAGGGACCCUGCUGAAUGGAGCUCUUCAUUGGGUUACCAGUAAGCGGAAGGACUCAGAUUGAGUCGUUGCUGAUCGGUGUCUCUGUGUCUCUGAUCUAGUGUAGGAGGAAUUCAGAGAUGUACCCCCUCCUCUUGCCUUCAAGAAUUUCUAUACAUUUCAGGUAUUCGGAGGACGCCUUUGUAUACUACCUGGUUGUAUUCUAAACAAGCAUAAUGAUUUCUGGGCAAUGAAUGAAAAGAUAGAAUCUUGGAUCAAAUUUGGAAUUGAGUUUCAAGACGAAUGAUUGUUAGCAGUAGCACUUUCCAUUGUAUAUUUCUCAGUUUUGAAGUUCAUUUUAAUGCACUGCUAUUUAAUUUAAACUUUAAAUCAGUACCAUGUCCUUUGUUGAAUUACCACAGCAGAAAAGGGGCAUACCACUGAACUAAAAGGUAUGUUUGUUCAACAAAAUUGGCAGGCUCAAAUGAACACUUUAAAGGAAACAAAAUUACAUGGAAAUUCUCUGCACCAAUUCUGCAGAAAGCAAUCCAGAUAUUCUCAAUCAGGUUGCACCAUGUUAAAUUCAAUACAGUUUGGAAAAGAUCUGUAUGUUAAAUCUACUUUCCCAUGUCCCGUCUGGAGAAUAAAGAACAGUUCCAUUUCUAAAACAUUUAUGCUACAUCGUUUCUCGAGAGUGACACUAUACAAGAACUGUAAAGGGCUUAUAGAAAUAAAAAGCCAUCCACCUCAUGAAUUUGUAAAGUACAAUGAAAAUGGAUGGAGCACAAGCGCUUCGAUUGUUUCACAGAAAACUCUUGCCUGCCACUAUCAAUAGGGGGGCUUACCCCAGACAUUGUCGGGGGCAGCAGAAAUCUAACUGCCUACAUCUCAGCACCCUGGGCCACACGAAGUACAUAGAGAUAUAACAUCCAGAAUAAAUUAUCACCUUGUAUCUUCUUUGGCAACCUCAUCUAUGUCUAUAUGCAUCAUGUUGUUAGAACAGGAAAUCUCUCUUUCCAUCUCAUCAUAGUCAGUGCUUAAUAAAAUAAAUAAUGAUGUGGUUUGUUAAACAGGGUCUGUAACUGAAACUAAAAAGAAAAAAAAGGUAAGGAAAAACUGCGAAAAUCAUGGAGAGAAAUUGGUGAUAGAAUUUACACUUAAAGGACUACAGAAAGUCUCAUCGAUUAGUAAUUUAGUAUUAUAACAAAUGGGAAUGCACAACAUGUGAUAAAUACAGAGAAAUGCCAUUAUUCCCACGCUAUCAGUCUUCAGUGAAGUUGGCCAGAAACAUGGUACAAAAAGAAAAGGUCAAGGUACAAAAAUUAGCCGUGCAUGUCAUUG